rnacentral:rRNA from 1 species
UACGGAGGGUGCAAGCGUUAUCCGGAUUCACUGGGUUUAAAGGGUGCGUAGGAGGGCAGGUAAGUCAGUGGUGAAAUCUCCGAGCUUAACUUGGAACUGCCGUUGAUACUAUCUGCCUUGAAUAUUGUGGAGGUGAGCGGAAUAUGUCAUGUAGCGGUGAAAUGCUUAGAUAUGACAUAGAACACCUAUUGCGAAGGCAGCUUACUACGCAGAUAUUGACGCUCAUGCACGAAAGCGUGGGGAGCAAACAGG